rnacentral:rRNA from 1 species
GCGCGCGCGCAUGGCGGCCGCGGGAAUUCGAUUUGAGUGUCAUUGU